GCUGCUGUGAGGAGACUCUUGGGUAAGGGCCUGGCCCGCGGGGUGAGUGCUCUAUGAUGAUGGUUCUGACUAUUAUCGCAGUAGAAGCCCCCGAGACCGAUUUCAGCCCUUAGAUGGAGAAUGCAAGGAGAGGUGACCGAGAACACGGGGGGACCUGUCCUAGCCUGUGUGGGACCGCAGUCUGCAUUGCUUUCCAUUUGGACCUGGGCUGCCCACAUUCUCCUAGCAACCUCUGGACAUCCACCUCCUUUCCGAUCAAGGCCCCAAGCGCUGAGAGGGGACCUUUAAUUCUUGCAUGACCCAGUCUGAAACUCUGUGCUUCUGAAACCUGAGAGACUGGAGGCCAUCCUGGGCUGACAGCUGGACCCCGUGUGCCUGCUAAGGAACGGCUGUGAGACGGGAUUAACAGGCGCGAGUUAAGCCUGUGUCCUCGGUGGCCGGCCAGGCAGGCGGCCUGUGCACUGCUUACAUAAAUGGGGCCAGGAAGCUGAACUUGUUUUUUCUGGCAAGAGCAAG
rnacentral:lncRNA from 1 species